UGAAUGAAACUAGAAAAAGUCAUCCUGAGUGAGGUAAUUCGGACUGAGAAAGACAAACAUGAUGAGAAAAUUGAAACUCAAGGACACCAAGAAAUUAAUUCAAAACCCUCCACCUGGAAGGGAUCUGGAACCCAAAUGUCGGGCUUUGACCUUCGUACCCUACUUUGUAUCAGUUGUCUUCAUCCAUGUCACACAGGUUGCAUGGCACUUGGUCCAUAGUAAACCCUCCAUAUACUUCAGCUUCAACUAAAAUAAGCUCUGGCAUAUGCAGGCACAAAAUCAGAAAAUUCUGGGAAGCCAUCUACUCAAGGACACAAAGCUAGCAAGACCCAUGUCCACCAUGCAACUCUUUUUCCAAGAAUGUCACACCACCCUUUCCAAUGUAUCCCUUAGGAAGUAUGAUGAAGGAAAAUGACACCAAUAUGAAAACAUUCUUUUCUUCUUUGGAAAGGAAAGCACUGUUCUUAAAUAAAAGAGUACUUCUGAUUAGAAUAUUUAUAAAGGUUAAUGAGAAACAAAAUGAACUGAAAACCAGCAGGGAAAUAUUCCCAGAUGUAAAUAACAAACUUCUACAGUUCUAAUUAUAUAAGAAAACAUCCCAAGCAGAAAGUCAAUUUAUUUUCAUCAGAUACAAGGGGAUCAGCAAAGUAAGACUUCUGCCACUGUCUGUCUGUACUUUGUGAAGUUCUGACACUGGAGCCAGCUGCCCUCUGCAUAGGCAAAUAGUUACAGAUGGCUGGAGAGGUGGCUGAGAGAAGAAUGAAGUCACCACCGUUACAGUGAAGAACUUAACAAAAUCAAGGAAGACCGUUGGGGAUUCUUAUUUUUUUCUCAGACAGUGAGAAAGGACAAAAAUGAGUGGGAAUGAUUCUUCUGUGUGAGUGCAAAAACAAGUUUGGGAAAGUUGAUAUGCUGUAUUCUCCAGAAGUUUUCUACAUUAUAGAGUCAUGAUCCCUGAAUCAAAGGCCCUGGGGACAUCUGAUCAUCACCAUAGUCAAGUGCCAUAGUCCCAGUGGCAACAGAUCUUUUUGCAGUUUGGGAGAAACCAUAGUAUGACAUAAACAUGUGAUGUUCAGUAGAUAA